ACACUGUACACACACGCACGGUCAGUGAGGGUGGCAAUAUCAUCAUCAUGGCAGAGAACAUGUUUCUGUUCUGGGGGUCGGGCAGCAUUCCCUGCUGGAAGCCUAUGAUAGUUUUGGAGGAGAAAGGUUUCGGGGGAUACAAGAACAAAUUGAUAACGUUCAGCAACAAGGAACACAAAGGGGAGGAUGUUCUAAAACUCAACCCCCGAGGUCAGGUACCUACCUUUAAAGAUGGAGACAUCGUGGUUAAUGAAUCCAACGCAAUUUGUGAAUACCUCGAGUGUACUUAUACAGACAAAGGGACACAACUCAUUCCUACUGACAAAGCCAAGAGAGCCCGCGUUCUCCAGAGGAUGCACGAGGCUGCCGCCAACAUGCAACAGAAGCUAGUAUUGGACCUACUCUAUUACUUCUUCCAAACAAAGGAAGAGGAUCGCAAAGAGGAAGAAGUUGCCAAGAAAGUAGAGGCUGCAAAAGAGGAAUUGGACCGCUGGGAGGCAUAUCUUGGGGAGGUACUGUAUAUAAUUUUUGUUGGUUACUGGUUUUAUUUUAUUUUUUCAAUUUAUUCACUUUUUCGAUUGAGGAACUAAAAUUAAUUAAAUCAUCUGUUGUUCCAUCUUACUCAAAACAAAAAGAAUAUUCUAGUGCAUAAUAAUAUUUAACAUGAUGUUUUCAGCAAAUCUAAUUUUUAAAGGUUACUACAAUCAAGUAAAUUUUCAAUUACACAUUGUCAAUACAGACCAAAGCCUUUGUGGCAGGACCAGAUUUUAGCAUGGCUGAUGUGUGGUUUUACCCUUUCAUUGCCUUUUCCGUACGCAUGGGUUUGGAGCUCGAGAAAUUCCCCAAUAUGAAGGCCUACUACGACAAAGUGACAGCCCGCCCUAGUGUUCAGAAAUCAUGGCCGCCUCACUGGAAAGAGGAACCAGCCAAAUUUUCGCCCUUCAAGGGAAGAAUUUAAACAUGACUAAUGUUUGAAUGUUGAAACUGGUAGCCCACAUACCAUGUAACCAUUACUUGUAUAGCUAUUUAUCUGUCAAUCUAAUGAAAUGGAAAAACUCUUUUCCUUUUUUCCACUCACAAUUUGUACAUGUACAUGAUCAUCAUGGAUCAUUUAAGAUAAAAUGAAAUAAACUAUAUUACUCUC
rnacentral:misc_RNA from 1 species